rnacentral:rRNA from 1 species
UACGGAGGGUGCGAGCGUUGUCCGGAAUUAUUGGGCGUAAAGAGCUCGUAGGCGGCUUGUCGCGUCGGCUGUGAAAACUCGGGGCUCAACCCCGAGCCUGCAGUCGAUACGGGCAGGCUGGAGUCCGGCAGGGGAGACUGGAAUUCCUGGUGUAGCGGUGAAAUGCGCAGAUAUCAGGAGGAACACCGGUGGCGAAGGCGGGUCUCUGGGCCGGAACUGACGCUAAGGAGCGAAAGCGUGGGGAGCGAACAGG